GCCGGGAGAUGAUGUGAACAAAAGGCCGAAUUGUAGCCCCCGCCGGCAGUUUGUUCUCAGAGCGGGGGUCAUGACAAAAACUGACCGAAGCGUUCAUCUGAUCCCGGA
ensembl:snoRNA